rnacentral:rRNA from 1 species
CGGGACACGUGGUAUCCUGUCUGAAUAUGGGGGGACCAUCCUCCAAGGCUAAAUACUCCUGACUGACCGAUAGUGAACCAGUACCGUGAGGGAAAGGCGAAAAGAACCCCGGCGAGGGGAGUGAAAAAGAACCUGAAACCGUGUACGUACAAGCAGUGGGAGCCUCUUUAUGGGGUGACUGCGUACCUUUUGUAUAAUGGGUCAGCGACUUAUAUUCUGUAGCAAGGUUAACCGAAUAGGGGAGCCGAAGGGAAACCGAGUCUUAACUGGGCGUUAAGUUGCAGGGUAUAGACCCGAAACCCGGUGAUCUAGCCAUGGGCAGGUUGAAGGUUGGGUAACACUAACUGGAGGACCGAACCGACUAAUGUUGAAAAAUUAGCGGAUGACUUGUGGCUGGGGGUGAAAGGCCAAUCAAACCGGGAGAUAGCUGGUUCUCCCCGAAAGCUAUUUAGGUAGCGCCUCGUGAAUUCAUCUCCGGGGGUAGAGCACUGUUUCGGCAAGGGGGUCAUCCCGACUUACCAACCCGAUGCAAACUGCGAAUACCGGAGAAUGUUAUCACGGGAGACACACGGCGGGUGCUAACGUCCGUCGUGAAGAGGGAAACAACCCAGACCGCCAGCUAAGGUCCCAAAGUCAUGGU